rnacentral:misc_RNA from 1 species
GAUGAAGAACGUAGCGAAAUGCGAUAAGUAAUGUGAAUUGCAGAAUUCAGUGAAUCAUCGAAUCUUUGAACGCACAUUGCGCCCGCCAGUAUUCUGGCGGGCAUGCCUGUCCGAGCGUCAUUUCAACCCUCGAACCCCUCCGGGGGUCGGCGUUGGGGAUCGGCCCUUUCACCGGGUGCCGGCCCCUAAAUACAGUGGCGGUCUCGCCGCAGCCUCUCAUGCGCAGUAGUUUGCACACUCGCACCGGGAGCGCGGCGCGUCCACGUCCGUAAAACACCCCAACUUCUGAAAUGUUGACCUCGGAUCAGGUAGGAAUACCCGCUGAACUUAAGCAUAUCAAUAAGCGGAGGA